GAGCUUGCUCCCUGAAGUCAGCGGCGGACGGGUGAGUAACACGUGGGCAACCUGCCUGUAAGACUGGGAUAACUCCGGGAAACCGGGGCUAAUACCGGAUAAUUCUUUCCCUCACAUGAGGGAAAGCUGAAAGAUGGUUUCGGCUAUCACUUACAGAUGGGCCCGCGGCGCAUUAGCUAGUUGGUGAGGUAACGGCUCACCAAGGCAACGAUGCGUAGCCGACCUGAGAGGGUGAUCGGCCACACUGGGACUGAGACACGGCCCAGACUCCUACGGGAGGCAGCAGUAGGGAAUCUUCCGCAAUGGACGAAAGUCUGACGGAGCAACGCCGCGUGAGUGAUGAAGGUUUUCGGAUCGUAAAACUCUGUUGUUAGGGAAGAACAAGUACCGGAGUAACUGCCGGUACCUUGACGGUACCUAACCAGAAAGCCACGGCUAACUACGUGCCAGCAGCCGCGGUAAUACCCAGGUGGCAAGCGUUGUCCGGAAUUAUUGGGCGUAAAGCGCGCGCAGGCGGUUCCUUAAGUCUGAUGUGAAAGCCCCCGGCUCAACCGGGGAGGGUCAUUGGAAACUGGGGAACUUGAGUGCAGAAGAGAAGAGUGGAAUUCCACGUGUAGCGGUGAAAUGCGUAGAGAUGUGGAGGAACACCAGUGGCGAAGGCGACUCUUUGGUCUGUAACUGACGCUGAGGCGCGAAAGCGUGGGGAGCAAACAGGAUUAG
rnacentral:rRNA from 2 species